GGGGUCUCAGCUUCUACUUCAUUCUACGGCCGAGACCGGAGGAUGUUCCCUGCUCAGGAGGAGGCCGACAGGACCGUAUUUGUGGGGAAUUUAGAGGCCCGAGUUCGGGAAGAGAUUCUGUACGAGCUGUUCCUUCAGUUUCUUAUAGGCGGGGCCACUAACCAAAGUGACUAUAUGCAAAGACAGAGAAGGAAAGCCAAAGUCUUUUGGAUUUGUCUGCUUUAAACACCCAGAAUCGGUGUCUUAUGCCAUAGCUUUGCUGAAUGGAAUUCGUUUAUAUGGAAGACCAAUUAACGUGCAGUAUCGAUUUGGGAGUUCUCGCUCUUCUGAACCAGCUAACCAAAGUUUUGAGAGCUAUCUUAAGAUAAAUUCACACAACUACAGGAAUGAAGAAAUGGUGGUGGGCAGAUCUUCCUUUCCCAUGCAGUAUUUUCCAAUUAAUAAUACUUCUUUACCUCAAGAAUAUUUUCUCUUUCAGAAGAUGAUGAAUGUCUUUUGUUUUCACAGCAGUGGCAUGUGUAUAAUCCAGUGCUGCAGCUUCCUUACUAUGAAAUGACAGCUCCACUUCCUAAUAGUGCAUCUGUGUCUUCCUCACUGAAUCAUGUUCCAGAUCUUGAGGCUGGACCCAG
rnacentral:sRNA from 1 species